rnacentral:tRNA from 1 species
GCCGGGGUGGCGGAAUGGCAGACGCGACGGACUUAAAAUCCGUUGGGGGAUAACCUCGUGAGAGUUCGAGUCUCUCCCUCGGCACCA